CGAACAUAUUACGUUGAAAUACUAGUUCCGUAUGAUCACCGAAGUUAAGCAACGUCGAGCCUGGUCGGUACCGAGAUGGGUGACCACUUGGAAAUAUUAGGUGCUGUAAGC